CCCUGAUGGGCCCCAAUGAGAAUGGGAUCACAGCAGGAUGGUGGAGCAGCUAAUAUCGCUCCUAAUCUCAGAAUGGUUCUUUGGAUGAUUGAUGUCAAUUCAUAAUAUUCUGAACCAAAAGGGAUAUCUUGGAGUAAACAUUCUUUUUCCCCAAAUGUCAAACUAAUGAAAAAUAAUACAGGAGGGACAAAAUUGCAUUUUUCUCUACCAAGAGACGUAUAGAACAUCUUUCAGUUAUAACAACUCUUGUGACUACAUUGGGCCCAACUGGAUAAUCUGG